UAAUUAUGUCCUACUGAUUUCCUCUGUUUUGUAGGUCGUGCCCAAACGGAGGAGGAUAACCUGGAGGUACAACAGAGUCUGGCGGAGGGACCAGAAAUGGACAAGAGAGGAGCAGACCCAGCAGCAGAAUACACCACCCACCACCCAGGUGACCAGUGACGGACCCACCAAGGUGCCAACUGUCACUGAACCCAAACAGCCUGAGCCACCACAGUUCCUGAGGAACUACUGGAGGACCAACCGGGUGUGGAGACGGGACAUGGUGUGGACCCGAAAGGUAAACAGGGUACAAUUGUCCUCUGUCAUAUUGGUGACAAUCAGAAUCAGGCUAGCUAUACAGUCUUUUAAAGGUAGCAGUGUUGUACACAUAAUUCUCUGUAAUAUGCUGCCAUUUGUGAUGUAUUGCUGAUGGAACUAUCACUGUUAUGGAAGGAGUUUCCAAGCAGCAGGUUUGAGUCU